UACGUAGGGGGCAAGCGUUGUCCGGAUUUAUUGGGCGUAAAGAGCUCGUAGGCGGUCUGUCGCGUCUGCUGUGAAAACUCAGGGCUUAACCCUGAGCUUGCAGUGGGUACGGGCAGACUAGAGUGCGGUAGGGGAGACUGGAAUUCCUGGUGUAGCGGUGAAAUGCGCAGAUAUCAGGAGGAACACCUAUGGCGAAGGCAGCUCUCUGGGACGGUACUGACGCUGAGACGCGAAAGCGUGGGGAGCGAACAGG
rnacentral:rRNA from 1 species